rnacentral:tRNA from 1 species
GCUGAGGUGGCGAAAUUGGCAGACGCGCAAGGUUUAGGACCUUGUGGGAGCAAUCCCGUGGGAGUUCAACUCUCCCCCUCAGCA